AUGUGGUCGAAGGAUAGUGGAACUGGGAGUUUUAGCAGAUGCUUUGUCUGCUUGCAAGAAAUGUGGUCUGCCACUGCAACUAUCACAUUGUACGGGCAUCACAACACAUGGUCUCUCAGCAAUGCUGAAGAUACCCUGUUCAAAUACAAAAGUUGGCUGCAGCUGUCCAGUACACAGGGGUUGGAUACACACAGAUUAAUGGCAUACUGGCAGAACUUAAUAUCCCCCAUCAGCAAAACUCGUUUGUACACCAGACAAGAAGAAGUUAGACAGGCCACAGAAUCAGUAGCUUCAUCUUCAAUAAAUGAUGCUCUGCAAGAGGAAGUGGAAGCAACCACAAAACAAUGUGACAAUGCUACCGAAAGAAAUAAGCUUCUCCCUCCACAUAACUGCAAAAGGAAUUGGACAGGAAGUUCCAAAUCAAUGGAGCCAGACAUGGGAAUCCAGAUGGAAUUGAAAAGGGCCUUUCAGCAUUAUCUCUGCAUCCAUUUGGCAACCACAUUGAAUGCAGUUAAGUCUGGUGCCAUCACAAAAGAAAUCCUACUACCCCAAAAUAUUACUUUCAUAUAUUUUGACCUUGAAUCAACAGGAUUAGCAAGAAACUCUCACAUAACACAGAUAGCAGCAGUUUGUGGCAAUGAGAAGUUUUCACAGUAUGUGAUGCCAAAAGUUCCCAUGACAUCAAAGGCAGCAGAAGUCACAGGAUUAGAUGUUAUCAAUGGAAAGAUGUACUGCCAUGGAAAUGAAGUGAAUGCUGUAAAAUUGUCUGCAGCUGCUGAUGCUUUGCUAAAUUUUUUUAUGAAGUUUCAAUCAAAAGUUUUGUGA
rnacentral:sRNA from 1 species